rnacentral:rRNA from 1 species
AACGAACGCUGGCGGCAGGCCUCAAACAUGCAAGUCUAGGGGGUGUAGCAAUACAUCACCGGCGGACGGGUGCGUAACGCGUGGGAAUAUACCUAUCGAUUCGGAACAACUGAGGGAAACUUCAGCUAAUACCGAAUACGUCCUAACGGAGAAAGAUUUAUCGUCGAUAGAUUAGCCCGCGUUCGAUUAGCUAGUUGGUGGGGUAACGGCCCACCAAGGCGACGAUCGAUAGCUGUUCUGAGAGGAAGAUCAGCCACACUGGGACUGAGACACGGCCCAGACUCCUACGGGAGGCAGCAGUUGGGAAUCUUGGACAAUGGGGGAAACCCUGAUCCAGCCAUGCCGCGUGAGUGAUGAGGGCCUUCGGGUUGUAAAACGUCUUUCGCGCACGACGAUAAUGACGGUAGUGCGAGAAGAAGCUCGGCUAACUUCGUGCCAGCAGCCGCGGUAAU